GUUGUUUCUAAGAAGCCGGUUCUGUCCGCAGAGGGGCAGACAGAGCACGGCACUGAACACCAGUGGCAGGUGAACCAGCAGCAGUUCUCAAAGGGGCCUUAGGACGAGGAGGUGGUGGCCCAGGUGGGGAGAAAAGACCGGAGAGGCCUUUGGAGGGGUGAAACGAAUUGAAUUCAGUGACGGCUGUAGCGGUCUGAACAGGAAGAUAAAUGGGACGGCUACACCAGUGACCUGCAGAACAGGUUGCAGGGAAAGGCCCUUACAAACCCAAGUAUGACCCAAAGAGCAGUGGUUCUGACACCGUCCAGAAGCUGUCAGAAAGGCAGACUCCCAGGCCUUGCCUCUGGCCUCUGGACUCCGGAUCUGCAUUUUAGCAGGAUCUGCAGUUUGACUCACAGGGUAGUCCCAGCUCCUGGUGCUUAAAGCUGUCUCCUUAUGGAAGAAAAACAGGGCCACAGGUGGCACUGCUGUCACACCUUUUCCUCUCACGCGCUCUUACGGAGGAUGCACGCUCUUACGGAGGAUGCACGAGACUGGUAUCUCUACAGAGACCAACGGUUCCAGUGGAAGAACUCAACACGAAGCAUUAUUUCCGUGUUUAAUGUAAUCUCCCCAAGUUCAUCCAAUCCAUUGUAAAACUCCAGGAAAACCAAGAAAGAUCAUGAAGAACUUAGAUGCUCGGGGCUGAAUUAGGCAGGAGCCCAGACACCAUGCAGCACUUGCCAAUACCGGGACUCCGAUUAUUCAUCUUUCUUACAAAAUAUUGCAAUUCUCUGUUCACAACGCUGCCUUUGCCACCAGAGGGUAAAUUCCUUCAAGGGGAGGGACCAAGGCCAGGAAGACAAGUUCUAAUAGAUCUCUGUACCCAGCACUCCGCACACUCUGCAACAAGUGGAUGUUGGAUAUCGGUUUGUUGAAUUAAUAAAUAAA